CUUUCAGUCAACUUAGUGCAAGGGCAUAGCCUGCAGUGAAAGACCCCCAGAGUGGGGAGACCCUCACUCAAGUCUCGGGAUAAGCCAACACCCCAAUAAUUCAAGAGAGACC
rnacentral:pre_miRNA from 11 species